CCUACGGUAGCAGCAGUGGGGAAUAUUGGACAAUGGGCGAAAGCCUGAUCCAGCCAUGCCGCGUGUGUGAAGAAGGCCUUCGGGUUGUAAAGCACUUUCAGUGGGGAAGAAAGCCUUGGGGCUAAUACCCUCGAGGAAGGACAUCACCCACAGAAGAAGCACCGGCUAACUCCGUGCCAGCAGCCGCGGUAAUACGGAGGGUGCGAGCGUUAAUCGGAAUUACUGGGCGUAAAGCGCGCGUAGGCGGUCUGAUAAGCCGGUUGUGAAAGCCCCGGGCUCAACCUGGGAACGGCAUCCGGAACUGUCAGGCUAGAGUGCAGGAGAGGAAGGUAGAAUUCCCGGUGUAGCGGUGAAAUGCGUAGAGAUCGGGAGGAAUACCAGUGGCGAAGGCGGCCUUCUGGACUGACACUGACGCUGAGGUGCGAAAGCGUGGGUAGCAAACAGGAUUAGAUACCCCGGUAGUC
rnacentral:rRNA from 1 species